rnacentral:rRNA from 1 species
AUUGAACGCUGGCGGCAGGCCUAACACAUGCAAGUCGAACGAGUGGCGGACGGGUGAGUAAUGUCUGGGAAACUGCCCGAUGGAGGGGGAUAACUACUGGAAACGGUAGCUAAUACCGCAUACCAUCGGAUGUGCCCAGAUGGGAUUAGCUCGUAGGUGGGGUAAUGGCUCACCUAGGCGACGAUCCCUAGCUGGUCUGCGAGGAUGACCAGCCACACUGGAACUGAUAAACGUUCCAGACUCCUACGGGAGGCAGCAGUGGGGAAUAUUGCACAAGGGGCGCAAGCCUGAUGCAGCCAUGCGGCGUGUAUGAAGAAGGCCUUCGGGUUGUAAAGUACUUUCAGCGAGGAGGCGUUACUCGCAGAAGAAGCACAGGCUAACUCCGUACCAGCAGCCGCGGUAAUUC